GGUGAACGCUGGCGGCGUGCUUAAGACAUGCAAGUCGAACGGGCUCUUCGGAGCCAGUGGCGCACGGGUGAGUAACGCGUAACUGACCUACCCCAAAGUCGCGGAUAACGAUUCGAAAGAAUCGCUAAUACGUGAUGUGCUGUCAGAUCCUGUUCUGCCAGUAAAGAUUUAUUGCUUUGGGAUGGGGUUGCGUUCCAUCAGCUAGUUGGUGGGGUAAAGGCCCACUAAGGCGACGACGGAUCGCCGGCCUGAGAGGGUGGCCGGCCACAGGGGCACUGAGACACGGGUCCCACUCCUACGGGAGGCAGCAGUUAGGAAUCUUCCACAAUGGGCGAAAGCCUGAUGGAGCGACGCCGCGUGAGGGAUGAAGGUCUUCGGAUCGUAAACCUCUGAAUCAGGGACGAAAGACGCGAAAGCGGGAUGACGGGACCUGAGUAAUAGCACCGGCUAACUCCGUG
rnacentral:rRNA from 1 species